rnacentral:rRNA from 1 species
UACGUAGGGUGCAAGCGUUUGUCCGGAAUUAUUGGGCGUAAAGAGCUCGUAGGUGGCCUGUCGCGUCGGCUGUGAAAAACUCGGGGGCUCAACUCCGAGCUUGCAGUCGAUACGGGCAGGCUAGAGUUCGGCAGGGGAGACUGGAAUUCCUGGUGUAGCGGUGAAAUGCGCAGAUAUCAGGAGGAACACCGGUGGCGAAGGCGGGUCUCUGGGCCGAUACUGACACUGAGGAGCGAAAGCGUGGGGAGCGAACAGG